AUGGGGGAAGGGGAGAGUUAUAGUGCCAGGGUAGCUGGCAAAAGACUGCUCAAGUCGGGACGCCUCCAGCAGGUGAAUGCAGCCAGGGAAGUGCGCAGGGGAUGUGGCUAUGGAGGAUCCUCUUUUACCCCUCCUGGGAAACCUGCAUGCUCGAUCACCUCCCUGAAAUGCCUGUACGCCAAUGCAUGCGGCAUGGGGAACAAACAGGAAGAACUAGAGAUCUGUGUGCAGUCGCAGGGCCAUGAUCUCAUUGCCAUUACAGAGACAUGGUGGGAUAGCUCGCAUGACUGGAGUGCUGUCAUGGAUGGCUACGUGCUUUUUAGGAAAGACAGGCCAGGAAAGCGAGCUGGUGGAGUUGCUCUUUAUGUGAGAGAGCAACUGGAAUGUAUUGAGCUGUGCCUAGGGAUGGAUGAAGAGCGAGUCGAGAGCUUAUGGGUAAGGAUUAAAGGGCAUGCUAGCUUGGGUGACACUGUUGUGGGUGUUUACUACAGGCCACCUGAUCAGGAAGAGGAAGUCGAUGAGGCCUUCUACAGACAGCUGGAAGUAGCCUCACGGUCCCAGGCCCUGGUUCUCAUGGGGGACUUCAACCACCCCGAUAUCUGCUGGAAAGACAACACAGCUAGGCACAAACAGUCCUGGAGGUUCCUGCAGAGCAUUGGUGACAACUUCUUGACACAGGUGGUGGAGGAGCCACCAAGGAGAGGUGUGCUGCUGGACCUCGUACUAACAAACAAAGAAGGACUGGUGGAAGAUGUGAAGGUUGGGGGCAGCCUUGGCUGCAGUGACCAUGAGAUGGUGGAGUUCAGGAUCCUGCGAGGAGGAAGCAGGGCACCAAGUAGGAUCACAACCCUGGACUUCAGGAGAGCAAACUUUGGCCUCUUCAGGGACCUGCUUGGAGGAAUCCCAUGGGUUAGGGCCCUAGAAGGAAGGGGGGUUCAAGAGAGCUGGUUAAUAUUCAAACAUCACCUCCUCCAGGCUCAAGAGUGGUACAUCCCUAUGAGUAGGAAGUCAAGCAAAGGGGGCAGGAGACCUGCAUGGAUGAGCAAGGAGCUCCUGGAAAAACUCAACUGGAAGAAGGAAGUAUACAGAAAGUGGAAAGGGGGACAGGCCACUUGGGAGGAAUAUAGGAACGUUGUCAGAGUAUGCAGGGAUGCAACAAGGAAGGCUAAGGCCCGUUUGGAAUUAAAUCUGGCUAGAGAUGUCAAGGACAACAAGAAGGGCUUCUUCAAAUACAUCAGUAGCAAGAGGAAGACUAGGGAAAAUGUGGGCCUGCUGCUGAAUGGGGUGGGUGCCCUGGUGACAAAGGAUGCAGAGAAGGCAGAGUUACUGAAUGCCUUCUUUGCUUCAGUCUUUACUGCUGAGGCCAGCCCUCAGGAACCCCAGACCCUGGAGGCAAGAGAGAAAGUCUGGAGAAAGGAAGACUUUCCCUUGGUGGAGGAGGAGUGGGUUAGAGACCAUUUAAGCAAACCUGACACCCACAAAUCCAUGGGCCCUGAUGGGAUGCACCCACGAGUGCUGAGGGAGCUGGCAGAUGUCAUUGCUAAGCCACUCUCCAUCAUCUUUGAAAGGUCAUGGAGAACAGGAGAGGUGCCUGAGGACUGGAAGAAAGCCAAUGUCACCCCAGUCUUCAAAAAGGGCAAGGAGGAGGACCCAGGGAACUACAGGCCAGUCAGCCUCACCUGCAUCCCUGGAAAGGUGAUGGAGUAG
rnacentral:lncRNA from 1 species